rnacentral:rRNA from 1 species
UACGGAGGGUGCGAGCGUUGUUCGGAUUCAUUGGGCGUAAAGGGUGCGUAGGCGGCGGGGUAAGUCUGAUGUGAAAUCCCGGGGCUCAACCCCGGAACUGCAUUGGAUACUGCUCUGCUUGAGUACUGGAGAGGAGACUGGAAUUUACGGUGUAGCAGUGAAAUGCGUAGAGAUCGUAAGGAAGACCAGUGGCGAAGGCGAGUCUCUGGACAGUUACUGACGCUGAGGCACGAAGGCCAGGGGAGCAAACGGG